rnacentral:rRNA from 1 species
UACGUAGGUGGCAAGCGUUAUCCGGAAUUAUUGGGCGUAGAGAGCGCGCAGGUGGUUGAUUAAGUCUGAUGUGAAAAGCCCACGGCUUAACCGUGGAGGGUCAUUGGAAACUGGUCGACUUGAGUGCAGAAGAGGGAAGUGGAAUUCCAAUGUGUAGCGGUGAAAUGCGUAGAGAUAUGGAGGAACACCAGUGGCGAAGGCGGCUUCCUGGUCUGUAAACUGACACUGAGGCGCGAAAGCGUGGGGAGCAAACAGGAUUAGA